CCUACGGGUGGCAGCAGUGAGGAAUAUUGGUCAAUGGACGAGAGUCUGAACCAGCCAAGUAGCGUGAAGGAUGACUGCCCUAUGGGUUGUAAACUUCUUUUAUAUGGGAAUAAAAUGUUCCACGUGUGGGAUUUUGUAUGUACCAUAUGAAUAAGGAUCGGCUAACUCCGUGCCAGCAGCCGCGGUAAUACGGAGGAUCCGAGCGUUAUCCGGAUUUAUUGGGUUUAAAGGGAGCGUAGGUGGAUUGUUAAGUCAGUUGUGAAAGUUUGCGGCUCAACCGUAAAAUUGCAGUUGAAACUGGCAGUCUUGAGUACCGUAGAGGUGGGCGGAAUUCGUGGGGUAGCGGUGAAAUGCUUAGAUAUCACGAAGAACUCCGAUUGCGAAGGCAGUUCACUGGACUGCAACUGACACUGAGGCUCGAAAGUGUGGGUAUCAAACAGGAUUAGAUACCCCAGUAGUC
rnacentral:rRNA from 1 species